rnacentral:rRNA from 1 species
UCCAGACUCCUACGGGAGGCAGCAGUGGGGAAUAUUGCACAAUGGGGGAAACCCUGAUGCAGCGACGCCGCGUGAGCGAAGAAGUAUUUCGGUAUGUAAAGCUCUAUCAGCAGGGAAGAAAAAAAUGACGGUACCUGAGUAAGAAGCACCGGCUAAAUACGUGCCAGCAGCCGCGGUAAUACGUAUGGUGCAAGCGUUAUCCGGAUUUACUGGGUGUAAAGGGAGCGUAGGCGGCGCGUUAAGUCUGAUGUGAAAACCCGAGGCUCAACCACGGGAGUGCAUUGGAAACUGGCGGGCUGGAGUGCCGGAGAGGUAAGCGGAAUUCCUAGUGUAGCGGUGAAAUGCGUAGAUAUUAGGAGGAACACCAGUGGCGAAGGCGGCGUACUGGACGGCAACUGACGCUGAGGCUCGAAAGCGUGGGGAGCAAACAGGAUUAGAUACCCCAGUAAUA